UAUUGAUGAUGAAGACAUUGAGAAAGUAAUAGCUUAAAGUGCUCCUAUGCUUCAUGUAUUGCCUUUCCUUUCAUUUGAGAAAAGUGCAAAUCUUGUUUCUUAAAUU